rnacentral:SRP_RNA from 1 species
GCCGGGCGUGGUGGCGGGCGCCUGUAAUCCCAGCUACUCGGGAGGCUGAGGCAGGAGAAUCGCUUGAACCCGGGAAGCAGAGGUUGCAGUGAGCCACCAGGAUCACGCCAUUGCACUCCAGCCUGGGUGACAGAGAGAGACUCUGUCUCAA